GUAACAGAGCCAUAUACAACGACAGUUGAGUAUCAAAACCGUGUUCAUUGCACAGUCAUUCUUUAAGCUGUAAAUUAUAUUUACGAUUUUACACUCAUUGUCUCUUAUUAAUUAUGAUCAUAACAAAGUGGCUUCACAUGACACAUUUGAAAAAUUUUCAUUGACUCGUUGAGUCAACUCAGUCACAAGUUUCUCCUCUAGUCUAUAUAUUCAUCAUACAGCAUUAAAUGGUUGCAUAUUUACAAUGUUAGCUAUCAAAUGUCUUUCAAUACAUUGGCAUUUAAAAAGCUACUUUUCGAUAAAGGUAUUUUACUAUGGUUUUUUCAUGUAUGACUGCUUUAAUAUUGAUACCCCCCUACUUAUAUUUAUUUCUGUCCCAUGCAUAGGUAAGCAGCCAUGCCACCUAAGCGAGGUCAGAAGCCCUCCACCCAAACAAGAAGCAAAAAGAGGAAAACCAAUUCAGGGAUCUCAGAGUCUACCCCACCUGUCCCUAUGGAUGCAGACCUUCAAAUCAACACCCAACCAACCAGCGCAAUCGACUAUGACAAACUAGCACUAGCCAUCCUCAAGCACUCUGCCCCAGCCCCAGCCAAUGAAAUCACUGCAAGUCCAGCGCUGAUAGCAUGCUCCAACACACCGGGACCCUCGUCAAUGUCAUCCCCACAGGAUAGCCUCCCCACAUCGACAGGCUUGGGCGAUCUCUUAGACAAGUCUAACACCAAUCUGCCAAAAGCUGUUGUCAUCGGCUCUAUCACCCUCAUCCUCUCUGGCAUACCGAAGGAGUUGGAGUUUAUUAUUAACUUGGAAGCCUCAGAUCUCGCUUCCAGUUUCAGUUAUUGACAUUUGCAAUUUUAUCGGGCAUUUAUUUCUGCAGAACUAUUCUCCAAGCACAAUACUUUCCCAUAUUUCUGCUGUCAGCUUUGUACACAAGCUGUACAACAUCCUCGAUCCCACACAGGCAUUUGUCACAAAGAAAAUUUUAAAGGGCUGCCAAUCAUUGGGUUCUAGGAAAGAUGCGCGUUUGCCUAUAACAGGGCCUAUUCUACAACAAAUCAUUGCUGCCCUAGACCACACAGUUUCUCAAUAUUCCCUCAGGCUUUUACUCCGGGCUCUUUUUCUAUUGGCCUUUCAUGCUUUUCUCAGAUUAGGAGAAAUUACAGUAAAAUCUCUAAAAGCUAAGAACUGUGUAUUACAGAGAUCGGAUGUCACAUUUAGUAAAGGCCCUUCCAGAGCAGUACAAAUCAUCAUGAGGGAUUACAAAACAAAUAAACACCACACACCAUUGAUCAUUUCUGUGCAGGCAUGCCCUGACUCUACAUACUGCCCAGUAACAGCUCUGUUCAACUACAUUCAAUGGUACAAACACACAACUGGUCCACUAUUUCAGACAAUUGAUGGCUUACCGGUUACCUAUUCUAUGGUCACUUCCCAACUCAAAUCCGCUAUACAGUUUAUUGGUCUUAGUCCAGAGCAAUUUAAGGGUCACAGUUUUAGAAUUGGGGCAGCAACACAUGCAGCUUCCAUGGGUUUCUCUGAUCAGGUUAUUCAGAAAAUGGGAAGAUGGAAUUCGGAUGCUUUUAAACAUUACAUUCGUAUCCAGUCAUUCAAGCUAUAAUAUGUAUAUACAUAUAUAUUAUACUCCAGUUUCAGGUGUAUUUUGCCCCUUGGGUCUAGCAUUUCAGGCAUUGUCUGCUAAUAUCUACCUACACAGUUCAGAAGUUUUCUGCUGUUCCUUCUUAAGGUUGUCACAUUACGGCAGUUCAGAAGUAUUCUGCUGCCCCUUAGUUUGCAUAAUUACCACAUACCGUUAGUACAGAAGUAUUCUGCUGACACUUAGUCCCAAAUUUCUUUUCUUUUUUAUGCAUGUGUGAUUUUGGCAAAAUACCUCACCCUACUCAAUUUUGUUUUUACAUUUGAUUUUAUCUUGCUGGCCACCGUCCUAUUAACAGUAUUGUAUUGCGGUAUUUUUAAGUUUUGCUAAAUAUCCCUUUUGAUAUUUAAUUAUUACAUGUUACGCAUGUUCAAUACGUACCAUUUUUUGCCAAGACGCCUUUGGGUGGGGGAUCCAAUUUGCAAUUGGAUUCUGGCGUGUAUCUUGUUAUUUUCCACCCUUUUUUGAUGUUUGGCAUAUAUCAUUGCCUUGAUUUUUGAUAUGUUUUACUAUUGGGGGUCAGCAUAUUGCAUAAUGUACUGCCAAAGACUUUACACAGUAGUCAGUUGUUUUCUAGUCUAUGCUGACCCCCUUGAUGGUGUAUAUAUUUAUUUUUCGUCAUUUACUUCAAUAAAUGACAUGUGUUCAUUUCUAUACCUGUUUUGUUUUCACUAUGCUCAACAUCAAAAAACUAAGUGCAGUUGUCUUGGCUUUAAAUAACAUAGGAACAUAAAGCAGUUAUUAUUAUGUUUAAUGAUAAUACCUUUUAUGUGACAUGUGUUUUCUUCUUGUUUUAUCACAAACGAUAUUUGUUUACAUUUAUAAGUCUCCUAUUUGGGCAUUUGUAGAUUAUGUAAUUAAUUGGUG
rnacentral:misc_RNA from 1 species